GAUGAACGCUGGCGGCGUGCUUAACACAUGCAAGUCGAACGAAUAACCCACCUUCGGGUGGUUAUAGAGUGGCGAACGGGUGAGUAACACGUGACCAACCUACCUUACACUUUGGGAUAACUCAGAGAAAUUUGAGCUAAUACCAAAUACUCCGGAACCUUCGCAUGUUGGUUCCGGGAAAGUUCCGGCGGUGUAAGAUGGGGUCGCGGCCUAUUAGAUAGUUGGUGGGGUAACGGCCUACCAAGUCGACGAUAGGUAGCCGGGUUGAGAGACUGAUCGGCCACAUUGGGACUGAGAUACGGCCCAGACUCCUACGGGAGGCAGCAGUGGGGAAUUUUGCGCAAUGGGCGAAAGCCUGACGCAGCAACGCCGCGUGCGGGAUGACGGCCUUCGGGUUGUAAACCGCUUUCAGCAGGGAAGAUAAUGACGGUACCUGCAGAAGAAGCUCCGGCUAACUACGUGCCAGCCGCCGCCGUAACAC
rnacentral:rRNA from 1 species